rnacentral:rRNA from 1 species
UGGUUUGAAACUUUUUCUACCAAAAGUUAUUAACUUAGGAUAGUUAGAUAAAAUAAAAUUUAAUAAUAUUAUUAUGUAAAAGAGUUUGAUCCUGGCUCAGAAUGAACGUUAAUGGUUAACUUAACACAUGCAAGUUCAACGGAAUUAUAUUUAAUUACAAUUUUGUAGCGUACGGGUGAGUAAUAUGUAGAAAUAAAUCUUAAAGAGUUUGUUUAAUACGAAUCAAAGAUUAAAUCGUUUUAAGAAAAGUCUAUAUAAGAUUAAGUUGUUGGUAUAUUUAAAAGGUUACCAAGCUUACGAUCUUUAGUUGAUCUUUGAGGAUAAUCAACCACAUUGGAAUUGAAAAACGGUCCAAACUUCAAGUAGAAGGCAGCAGUGAGGAAUAUUAGGCAAUGAGCGGUGGCUUGACCUAGUUAAACCAUUUGUGCGAUGAAGGUAUGUAACUGUAAACCACAUAAACUAAAAAAAUUAUGAUUUUAUUAGUGUUUAGUCCUGGCUAAUUUCGUGCCAGCAGCCGCGGUAAAACGGGAAGGGCAAACGUUAUUCGGAUUAAUUGGGCGUAAAGCAUAUGUAGGUGGAAAAUAAAUUUUUAUACUCAAAAUUUAAAACUCAAUUUUAAAUAAGUCUUAAAAAUUAUUAUCUAGAGUUUAAUGAAAGAUUAUGGAACUUUAAGUGUAACGGUAAAAUGUUUUGAUAUUUAAAAGAACCUCAACAGCGUAAGCAAUGAUCUAAGUUAUUACUGACAUUAAAAUAUGAAAGUAUGGGUAGCAAAAGGGAUUAGAUACCCCUGUAGUCCAUACCGUAAACGAUGAGUGUUUAUUUUUAGAUUUUUGCUAGAAAUUAAGUUAACGCUUUAAACACUCCGCCUGGGAACUACGAUUGCAAAAUUAAAACUCAAAGGAAUUGACGGGAACCUACACAAGCAGUGGAGCAUGUGGUUUAAAUCGACAAUACGCGCGGAAUCUUACCAAUUUUUGAAUGGUUUCAAACUACAGGUGUUGCAUGGCUGUCGUCAGUCCGUGCUGUGAAGCGUUUGGUUCAUUCCAAAAAACGGACAAAACUCUCGUAUACUUUAUAAUAUAAAAUAUUAGAGAUAUUCUAAAGGAAGUUGAGAAUGAUGCCAAGUCCUCAUGACCCUUAUAAGUUGGGCUACUUUCAUGUGCUACAGUGGUCUUUUCAAAUAGAAGCAAAAAUGCGAAUUCAAGCAAAUCUCUAAAUAAGACUUUGUUCGAAUUAUUUUCUGAAACUCGAAAAUAUGAAGUUGGAAUUGCUAGUAAUCGUAAAUUAGAAUGUUACGGUGAAUAAGUUCUUAGGUUUUGUACACACCGCCCGUCACGCUAUGGAAAUUCUUAUUAU